GAAUAAUCGAAUUUACACAAAGCGUUCAUCGUACAAGUACAUCCCUGAAAUUAAGAUCGGACACGAGCAGUUGUAGAAAACUUUUGGGUAAACAUCAAACGUCAAGUUUACACUAUGCGUGUUUGUCAAAGUGUUCAUCGUACGAGUACAGCACUGAAAUUGAGGUCGGACACGAGCAAUUGCAGAAAACUAUGCGAACGAUCAAAAUUUGAUGCCAGUGUUCAUCGUACAAGGAGAGCUUCAAAAUACUAUGGAGAUAAUUAAAUGUGUUUAUUUGUCAAAGUGCCACGAUGACAGUUUUGAAAUAAAGGUCCGACAGGAGGAAUUGCUGAAUACUGUCGAAAUGCUAAAAAUGACAAAUUCAAAAAAAGUGCAAUUCCUGACAUCAUAGUGAAACAAUUUUGAGACUUUUAGAACUUGGUCUCUUUGUAAGGUUUACUUCCAAAUUUACAUAAAAAUUGGAUCAUUUAACCCAAUACCUAGAGGAGGGAUCUCCAAAGGAUAUUAGACUUGAAAUGUUACACUUGAUUUGGAGACUUGAGGGAAAAAUUUUCAACAAAUGAUGGAAGUGCUAAAAGUGUCAAAUUCAAGAAAAAGUGCAGUUCCUGGCGUCAUAGUGAAACAAUUUUUGAGUCUUUUAGAACUUGGUCUCUUUGUAAGGUUUAUUUCGAAAAAAAAAUUUUGAUCAAUUAACCUAGAGGAGGGUUCUCCAAGGGAUAUUAGACUUGAAAUGUAACACUUGAUUUGAAGAUUGGCGGGGAAAAAUUUUCAACAAAUGAUGCAGAUAUCAAGGAAGAACAGUGAAUUCUCGGCAACUGGAAUCAACAAACAACGGGCAACUUUCU